rnacentral:rRNA from 1 species
CAGUCGCCACGGGAAUACGAAGGGGGCUAGCGUUGUUCGGAUUUACUGGGCGUAAAGGGUGCGUAGGCGGAUUGUUAAGUCAGGGGUGAAAUCCCGAGGCUCAACCUCGGAACUGCCUUUGAUACUGGCGAUCUUGAGUCCGGGAGAGGUGAGUGGAACUGCGAGUGUAGAGGUGAAAUUCGUAGAUAUUCGCAAGAACACCGGUGGCGAAGGCGGCUCACUGGCCCGGUACUGACGCUGAGGCACGAGAGCGUGGGGGGCAAACAGGAUUAGAUACCCCCGUAGUCCCUGUCUCUUAUAC